UUGCCUUACUGACAGAAUGUCAAUAAAGUCACAUAAAAUAUCUCAUUACAAUAACAUCCAACAAAAUAUCAAUCAAGAUACAAUAAUAGAUGCAUGUCAUUGAUUUUGUACAAAAUAUCCAGUUGACAAUACAACAUAAACGCUUACAAAAUGAUAGCCAAACGGUGCAUUAUUUUGCACCUUACACAAACUAUCUAGUUGACGCAAACUAUCUCCAUAGUUCCUUCCUGGUCUUUUAUGUCUUUCCUACAAAGGGUAAACAAUCAUUCAGUAAAUUCAUGCAUUCAUAGUCAAUGGCAGAAACAAAACAAAGCAUCAGCUCAGUCUGCACAACGAAAUACAUCAGCUCAAUAAUUUAGCUAAACUCACUACAGAAGAAAGCGAGCUGGCAAUCAAUCAUUAAGCAUCUACUAGUUGCUACUUAAGGUCGUAAAUUUGCACAAUUCAGGUCAUCUGUAAUGCCCACCCUACUUGUACAGGCGUGAAUGCAAAACUAUUACCUCCCAGGGAAACCAUGUAUGUUAUAUGUUAGUAGGAUUAGAAACUCGAUUGUAUUCUCAGUUCAGAGAUACGCAAGUGAUCCUGUUCAGUCCAUCAAAGCACAUAUUAACAAAAUGCAUCCUAAGAUGAAGGUUUUGCAUUUCUUACAAGUUGCUAUGUAACACAGCUUGAACCUGACCCUAACUCUAUUGGAUGAUCUAAACCUAGUUGUAUAUAUGACAAUUAUUACUCUAUGGGAAACUACACAUGUAGUUUUUGCUAUAUGAUUUGAGAGUAGCAUCGUUCUGUUCAUCUCUAAAAUUUUCAUAUAAUUAAUACAAGAAUGCAAAUAUAAUAUUCAUAUACUACAGCAAUGCUAUAAGGCUGAAGCAUAAAAUCUAAAAGUGGGUAACUGUACUUCUCUUUCGCUUGCUGAAAAUUACAAAAGUCGGACAUUAUCACUAAAAAUGAUUUUAUUAGUUCUUGUCUCCCCCACCAAAAAAAUAAAAAGGCUAUUGUUGAGUGAAUGUUUUGCAUGGACCUUUGGACACCGUCGCUACCAUAUAUUUAUCAAAGUGAAUCCAGACAUAUUAAUCAUUUUAGCGGUACGUUCUAAUUUCUUCAAUCAAUAGAUGAAUGUAAGCAAACAGUUCUAGCUAAGUGACAGAAAUUACCUAAGUGGCGGGAUGAGGAAGACGUCCCUGUUCAGAUAAGAUUCACCUGCUAUGUUGUUCCCCACACACAGAAUUCAUUUUGCCUUUCAGAUUGAUUGUAACCAGAUCUUACUUCUGGGAAAUAAUAGAACAUGAUGUUACGAUAUGAUUUAACAAGGGAAC
rnacentral:lncRNA from 1 species